AUGUUGGGGAUGAGGCGGAGUAUGUCGCGGCGGCGGCGACGAGCACCGCGAACGCGCUACCUCCUCCGCUUCGGCCCCUCCACACCAUCUGCCGCCUCCGCCGACCUUAGUGGGCAUGCCCUGGUCGAGCCCCCCCAAAGUCGGAUGACGGCGCUGAGGAGAUCACGUAACCCCAGGGCAGGGCGUAGCGACCGGCGAGGAGCGCCUCAAGGGCGUGGCCCCCGAUUCGUGGGUCGACAGCGUGGAGGCAAUCGUGUGUGGACAGGAUAUGGCGGUGUUGCGGCAAGCGAGGAGCGCCACUGCCGUUCGCACAAGAUCCGCCGUCUCAUCUCUGCGAUUUGA
rnacentral:rRNA from 1 species